rnacentral:rRNA from 1 species
UUGACCUCAAAUCAGGUAGGACUACCCGCUGAACUUAAGCAUAUCAAUAAGCGGAGGAAAAGAAACUAACAAGGAUUCCCCUAGUAACUGCGAGUGAAGCGGGAAAAGCUCAAAUUUGAAAUCUGGCAGCUCUUUGAACUGUCCGAGUUGUAAUCUAGAGAAGUGUUACCUGUGCUGGACCGUGUACAAGUCUCCUGGAAUGGAGCGUCACAGAGGGUGAGAAUCCCGUCUUUGACACGGACUGCCUGUACGUUAUGGUGCGCUCUCAAAGAGUCGAGUUGUUUGGGAAUGCAGCUCAAAAUGGGUGGUAAAUGCCAUCUAAAGCUAAAUAUUGGCGAGAGACCGAUAGCGAACAAGUACCGUGAGGGAAAGAUGAAAAGUACUUUGGAAAGAGAGUUAAACAGUACGUGAAAUUGCUGAAAGGGAAACGCUUGAAGUCAGUCGCGUUGGCUAGAAAUCAACCUUGCUUUUGCUUGGUGUACUUUCUUGUUGACGGGUCAGCAUCAAUUUUGACCGUUGGAUAAAGUCUUUGGGAAUGUGGCAUCUCAGGAUGUGUUAUAGCCCAUUGUCGCAUACAGCGGUUGGGAUUGAGGAACUCAGCACGCCCGCAAGGGACGGGUUUUUGGACCACGUUCGUGCUUAGGAUGCUGGCAUAAUGGCUUUAAUCGACCCGUC